rnacentral:rRNA from 1 species
AGAGUUUGAUCCUGGCUCAGGAUGAACGCUGGCGGCGUGCCUAACACAUGCAAGUCGAGCGAAGCAUUUUACUUUGAAUCUUUCGGGAGGACGAGUGAUCUGACUGAGCGGCGGACGGGUGAGUAACGCGUGGGUAACCUGCCUCACACAGGGGGAUAACAGUUAGAAAUGACUGCUAAUACCGCAUAAGACCACAGCACCGCAUGGUGCAGGGGUAAAAACUCCGCGG